UCAUGGCCCAGAAGCACCCGGGAGAAAGAAGGUUGUGUGGAGCCCACCGCAGUGGUGGUUCCUCCCUCAGUACAUCAGGAUCCUCUAUGGACCCCGAAACACUUUCAUUCUCAGGACUCAGGAACUCAGCAGAGACUGCUCCUAAUGAUACACGAUGCCUCAAAGAGCACUCCGGCCCUAAGUACACACAGCCUCCAAAUCCAGCCCACUGGUCGGAUCCAAGCCAUGGUCCUCCAAGGGGUCCAGGACCACCUAGAGGAGGAGGCUACCCUGAUGAGAGCGAGACAGGUUCAGAAGAGUCAGGAGUGGACCAGGAACUCCCAAGAGAGAAUGAGACUGGGUACCAGGAGGAUGGGAGUCCUUCUUUUCUUUCCAUUCCAUCUGCUUGUAACUGCCAGGGAAGCCCUGGCGUCCCCGAAGGGACUUACUCCGAGGAAGGAGAUGGCUCUUCUAGCAGCCUUUGCCACCAUUGCACCUCUCCAGCCUUGGGGGAAGAUGAAGAGUUGGAAGAAGAAUAUGAUGAUGAGGAACCUCUUAAAUUUCCAAGUGAUUUUUCACGUGUGUCCAGUGGAAAGAAACCCCCGUCCCGGAGGCAGAAGCACCGUUUUCUGAUCAAGGAGGAUGUUCGGAAUAGUGGACGCAGAGAACCCAAGACCCCAGGUCGUCAUCGGCUGGCCCGAAAAAGAAGUCAGACAGAUAAUCUGGUGGCUGAUUGAACUUCUUCUGGUAUUGGUGGGAGAGUAUGUGGAAACCUGUGGCCAUCUCAUUUACGCAUGCAGGAAGCUGAAAGGCAGUGACCUGGACCUUUUUCGAGUCUGGGUGGGGGUCUGGGCCAGGAGACUGGGGGUAUGGGUCCUGUUCCAGUUUCUAAGCCAGAGCUUCUUCUGUGUGGCGGGGCUGCUCAUCCGUAUUCUUAGGGUAGUGGGUGCUUUCCUCCUCCUGGCUCUUGCCCUCUCUUUGGGAUGUCUACAGUUGGGCUGGAGGUUUUCGGUGGGACUGGGCAACCGGUUAGGCUGGAGGGAUAAGACCGCUCGGCUGUUCUCUUGGCUGGGUUCUCCAGCCUUGCAUCAUUGCUUGACUCUGCUGAAAGAUAGCAGGCCAUGGCAGCAGCUGGUAAGGUUAAUACAGUGGGGCUGGCAGGAGCUGCCCUGGGUCAAGCAGAGGACUAAGAAACAGGGCAAUGUACCUGUAGCUAGUGGGCGAUACUGCCAGCCUGAAGAGGAAGUGGCCCGACUCUUGACCAUGGCUGGGGUUCCUGAAGAUGAGCUAAACCCGUUUUAUGUGCUGGGGGUUGAAGCUACAGCAUCCGACACUGAAUUAAAGAAGACCUAUAGGCAGCUAGCAGUAAUGGUCCAUCCUGAUAAAAAUCACCGGGCUGAGGAGGCCUUCAAAAUUUUGCGGGCAGCUUGGGACAUUUUCAGCAACCCAGAGAGGCGGAAGGAAUAUGAGAUGAAAUGAAUGGCAGAGAAUGAGCUCAGCUGGUCAGUGAAUGAGUUUCUGUCGAAGCUACAAGAUGACCUCAAGGAGGCAAUGAACACGAUGACGUGCAGCAGAUGCCAAGGAAAGCAUAGGAGGUUUGAGAUGGACCGGGAACCCAAGAGUGCCAGAUACCGUGCUGAGUGUAACAGGCUGCAUCCUGCUGAGGAAGGAGACUUCUGGGUAGAGUCGAGCAUGCUGCGCUGAUGGAUGAAAAGGUGUAUGAUAUCACAGAGUGGGCUGGAUGCCAGCGUGUGGGUAUCUCCCCAGAUACCCACAGAGUCCCUUACCACAUCUCAUUUGGUUCUCGGGUACCGGGCACCAGUGGCCGGCACAGGGCCACUCCAGAGUCCCCUCCUGCUGACCUGCAGGAUUUCUUGAGCCGGACCUUUCAAGUACCUCCGGGGCUGAUGUCCAGUGGGAACUUCUUUGCUGCACCUCACCCUGGCCCUGGGACCACUUCAACCUCUAGGCCCAACAGUUCAGUACCCAAGGGAGAAGCCAAACCUAAACAGCGGAAGAAAGUGAGGCGGCCCUUUCAACGAUGACACCCCUUCUCUUCCUUCCUCAAAUCAAUAUCAGGGAGUCAAAAGGGCUGUGUACAGCACAGGAUGGAAUUUGAUUUAUUUUAAAAUACUUUAAAAAGGGAAACA